rnacentral:rRNA from 1 species
UACGUAGGGGGGCAAGCGUUGUCCGGAUUUAUUGGGCGUAAAGAGCGUGUAGGCGGCUUUACAGGUCCGUUGUGAAAACUCGAGGCUCAACCUCGAGACGCCGGUGGAAACCGUAAAACUAGAGUCCGGAAGAGGAGAGUGGAAUUCCUGGUGUAGCGGUGAAAUGCGCAGAUAUCAGGAAGAACACCCGUGGCGAAGGCGGCUCUCUGGGACGGUACUGACGCUGAGACGCGAAAGCGUGGGGAGCGAACAGG